CAGUAGCCGCGGGAACACAGAGGGUGCGAGCGUUAAUCGGAUUUACUGGGCGUAAAGCGUGCGUAGGCGGCUUCUUAAGUCGGAUGUGAAAUCCCUGAGCUUAACUUAGGAAUUGCAUUCGAUACUGGGAAGCUAGAGUAUGGGAGAGGAUGGUAGAAUUCCAGGUGUAGCGGUGAAAUGCGUAGAGAUCUGGAGGAAUACCGAUGGCGAAGGCAGCCAUCUGGCCUAAUACUGACGCUGAGGUACGAAAGCAUGGGGAGCAAACAGGAUUAGAGACCCCUGUAGUCCCUGUCUCUUAUAA
rnacentral:rRNA from 1 species